rnacentral:rRNA from 1 species
UACGAGGGGUGCAAGCGUUGUUCGGAGUUACUGGGCGUAAAGGGUGCGUAGGCGGCCCUGUAAGUAUGGUGUGAAAUCUCCCGGCUUAACUGGGAGGGUGCGCUAUAGACUGCGGGGCUCGAGUGUGGGAGAGGAAAGUGGAAUUCCUGGUGUAGCGGUGAAAUGCGUAGAUAUCAGGAGGAACACCGGUGGUGUAAACGGCUUUCUGGACCAUAACUGACGCUGAGGCACGAAAGCGUGGGUAGCAAACAGG